AGUCUAAGGACCAAAUAACAAGGAAAAUAAAAGGGAAACACAUGUAAUGAAAAACACCUGAAGCAAAUACAUAAAAAGCUCCCUUUGCACCUCAAAGGCACUUCACAGCCACUAGCGCCUGUGGGCACUAACCCCUAUGCCCAUUUAUUGCCCAUUUUUCCCAUUGCUUUCUCAUUGCUGUUUCUUCCUCAGGCACUUCAGGAUCCCCUUUCCCUUCUAAGCGGUCUACCCCACACCUGGCGGAAGGGCCACCGCAGCCACCUCGCCUACCACCAGCCCCCUACCACCAGCCCAGAGCCGAACCUCUGCAGCCCUGAUAAAAAGUCCUUUCCCCAACUCCCACAUCUCUCCAGGCCGUGCUCAGCCACUGGCCCUGGACCCUGCUCUUCCUCCCCAAAUCCAGGCCCUGUGGCCAGUGGCAAGAGCACUCCUCUGGGGCUGGAUGCCAGGCCCAGCCCAAGUGGGCAGCUCUCUCUUCUAUCAAGGGCACAGGGUUGCCAAGACGGGCUCUCCAAGACUGCAUUUUCUCUUCCUAUUGCAUAUGGGGCUGGAAAGAAAGAACUGUUCAAUUUAAUUUAAAAUAUGACAAGGGAUCUGAGCCCUCUGAGCAGGCGAUCUCUAGAAAUACUUGAUUCUUUUUAGGGGAGAGGAUGCAGAGUAGGCAGCGAAGCUGCUUCCCCACACCCGGGUUUGACUCUCCCACCAGCCCGCCGCCUGGGAAACGCGCCCUCGGCUGGCAUCGGGGUACCAGAGCCCGGCUCCUUUCUUCCUUUCUUUCUUUUUUAAACGGCUCUAGCGCAAACCAGGCAGUGGGUCAGGGCCCAGAGGCGGGGGAGGGAAGAGGAGAGGGCUGUCUCCAACUCGGGGAGAAGAACGGCCGGCCGCAAGUUUCCCGGUUUGUGCCAGUUUGGGGAUUUGCGAAUCAGACCGGAGCGGAGGGAACGGCGGACUUUGCCGUGGCAAACCCGGGCUCCGACGACAGAGGCAGCGCAGAAGCUCGCUCCUAAAUGAGACAAUUUUAUUAAAAUCAUAAUUCCUUGCA